rnacentral:rRNA from 1 species
UGGGGAAUUUUGGACAAUGGGGGAAACCCUGAUCCAGCCAUCCCGCGUGUGCGAUGAAGGCCUUCGGGUUGUAAAGCACUUUUGGCAGGAAAGAAACGUCAUGGGUUAAUACCCCGUGAAACUGACGGUACCUGCAGAAUAAGCACCGGCUAACUACGUGCCAGCAGCCGCGGUAAUACGUAGGGUGCAAGCGUUAAUCGGAAUUACUGGGCGUAAAGCGUGCGCAGGCGGUUCGGAAAGAAAGAUGUGAAAUCCCAGAGCUCAACUUUGGAACUGCAUUUUUAACUACCGGGCUAGAGUGUGUCAGAGGGAGGUGAAAUUCCGCGUGUAGCAGUGAAAUGCGUAGAUAUGCGGAGGAACACCGAUGGCGAAGGCAGCCUCCUGGGAUAACACUGACGCUCAUGCACGAAAGCGUGGGGAGCAAACAGG